rnacentral:misc_RNA from 1 species
UUAAUAUUUGUUUUUACUGAAGAUACUGCUACUACAAAGGUUUUUGUUGGUCCUCAUGGCAGGCAAGCCCACCGAGGAAACGAACGGUACUCGUAAACAAAGGGUGGUAGGUUACCCAGGAGGCCUUGCGGCAACCUGGGUGACUACUGUAAUGAUCCUUCCGCAGGUUCACCUACGGAAA